rnacentral:misc_RNA from 1 species
ACGAAAAAGCGCCGCCGUUGUCGGGUGGCCAUCUUAAGGGACAGAGGCGGCUUGAACGGGCAAGUAGCGAUUACUGUGUUGCCGUUGACCUAGCGCGUUUUCCUCAAUGUUGCAAUAUCGUCACCGCUAUCGUAAAUAGCGCCUGCCAUCCAGACUGUCCUUUUUUUUUUGUCCUCCCUAUCUUCUCAGUGUUGAGCAGGCAGGAGCGUCCCAAGUUAGGCUUACCGCUGAGUGAUGGCUUGUGCGACAUUAAAGCGCACACAUGACUGGGACCCGCUGCACAGUCCGAGUGGCCGAUCACCGAAGCGACGCCGAUGUAUGCCUCUGUCCCCACCUCCAACAAGGGCGCACCAGAUCGAUCCCUCGCCCUUCGGAGACGUGCCACCAAAGUUGACUUCAGAGGAGAUAGCAGCCAACAUCCGCGAGGAGAUGCGACGGCUACAACGGCGCAAGCAGCUCUGUUUCCAGGGCACCGACCCUGAAUGCCAGCCGACCAGUGGCCUCUCGUCACCGGUGCGUCGAGACCAGCCCCUGUUCACGUUCCGCCAGGUUGGGCUCAUUUGCGAACGGAUGAUGAAGGAGCGAGAGAGCAAGAUACGGGAGGAGUACGACCACGUGCUAUCCACCAAGCUUGCAGAACAGUACGACACGUUUGUUAAGUUUACCUACGACCAAAUUCAGAAGCGGUUUGAGGGUGCUACGCCCAGCUAUUUGUCGUAACAUGCACGGUAGAAGAAGUGAAGUGGUUUGUGCACAGGACUCCUCCUCUGCAGGCAACGUGAUCCAGCUGCUGGUGCAUUCAUUCCUCAACAGAAAAGCCUCAUCUACAAGCCCUUCUGUGUUGGCAGUGUGUGUGUGCUAUUGCCACCUGUGAUGACGUGCAAGCGGUUUGUGGAUGCAAAAGACUGCUUUUGUAUGCCAAGGAGUGAAGUUUAGUCACGUUUUCUAUGGUACAAGCGUGGUGCAUUACGAUUGCUUACUUUUUUCUGAAUGAACGCUUAUGUUAUUGAAACUACAGCUGCCAAAGGGUGGCUUCAAAAUUAACUUAGUGUACAGAUGUAUAAUAUAUAAAUGCACUACAGGGUGUGCAUGCCAAGCUUGAUGCAUUACUUUUGUACCACUGUGCUUUUUCUUGCCUUUGCUUUCGCAAUAUUUGACUGGCUCAUGUACAUAGAUUUGCAAGAAUUUCGCCACAUUACUGUUUCACGAAGGUCUUAAAAUUCAGAAUGCCGAACCAGUGAGUGCUUCAUUGGUAAUGUAUGAAGAAUGCCUGUGACUGUGGUUUCUAGGUUGGUAAGCACCAGGUCUUUCACAUGCAUUGGCUGUCGAGUUGGAAUGAGGUCAACAUUUGAUUGUCACUGAAGCAUUUGCAAUUAUGCGUUUUUCUUUUUUUAUGCUUUCAUUUUCUCUUCAGAUGUGUGUAACUGGAUGGUAUUAGAAUAAAUCAUUUGAGAUA